rnacentral:rRNA from 1 species
GCAAGUCGAACGAGAAAGCGGGGGCAACUCCGUGAGUAAAGUGGCGACCGGGUGAGUAACACGUGAGCAACCUGCCCCGAAGACUGGGAUAACACCGGGAAACCGGUGCUAAUACCGGAUACCCCCACCGGAUCGCAUGUUCUGGUGAGGAAAUGGAUUCCGCUUCGGGAGGGACUCGCGGCCUAUCAGCUUGUUGGUGGGGUAACGGCCCACCAAGGCUCCGACGGGUAGCUGGUCUGAGAGGACGAUCAGCCACACUGGGACUGAAACACGGUCCAGACUCCUACGGGAGGCAGCAGUGGGGAAUUUUGCGCAAUGGGGGAAACCCUGACGCAGCAACGCCGCGUGGAGGAUGAAGUCCCUUGGGACGUANACUCCUUUCGACCGGGACGAAAAAAAUGACGGUACCGGUGGAAGAAGCCCCGGCUAACUCCGUG